GGCACGGCCAGCCUCUGUCCUCAUCUGGAGCCUGGCCUCCACAGCGGGGCCUCUUGCUGGCUUUGCAGGAAACCUGUCUCCGCCACGGCGGGGGGGCUGAGAGCUCUACCCGUGCCUCUGGCCUUCAGGGGCCGUCUCUCCCAGGGGUCCCGUCCUAGGUGCCCAGAGGGUCACCCUGGGGAAAGCCACACAGGUCCCUCUCGCACCCCCGAGGUCCCCUGGACGCCCAGCUGAGCUGGCAGCUGUCCCAGCAGGUCCUCCUGAGAAGCAGAACCCGCAGGGCAUGGGGUCCAGGGAAGGAGUCACCGACCACGGGCCCCACGCUGCAGUGUGGCCAGCAGGCUGGGGCCUAGGGGCCAGCGCGCCCAGGGCAAGGGCUCACUUCAGCCGUGAGGGAGGGAGGAAGCCACGUCAUGGGGACAUCUGCCUCACCCGACGUCCCCCUCUUUCCUCCGCAGGAGAAGCACUUCACCAGGACCCUUGUCCCAACAAGAACCACACCUGGGUCACAGGGCCCUCUGGGUGGCAGGCCCUGGGCCAGCGGGGGGACCCAGACCCAGCACUCAGG
rnacentral:lncRNA from 1 species